rnacentral:rRNA from 1 species
AUUGAACGCUGGCGGCAGGCCUAACACAUGCAAGUCGAACGAGUGGCGGACGGGUGAGUAAUGUCUGGGAAACUGCCUGAUGGAGGGGUAUAACUACUGGAAACGGUAGCUAAUACCGCAUACCAUCGGAUGUGCCCAGAUUGGAUUAGGUAGUGGGGGGGGAAAAGGCUCACCUAGGCGACGAUCCCUAGCUGGUCUGAGAGGAUGACCAGCAACACUGGAACGGAGACACGGGCCAGACUCCUACGGGAGGCAGCAGUGGGGAAUAUUGCACAAUGGGCGCAAGCCUGAUGCAGCCAUGCCGCGUGUGUGAAGAAGGCCUUCGGGUUGUAAAGUACUUUCAGCAGGGAGGCGUUACCCACAGAAGAAGCCCCGGCUAACUCCGUGCCAGCAGCCGCGGUAAUUC